CCAUGCUUCUCCUACCCAAGACGGACGGUGGUUAGAAUCUUCCCAAACACAGUGAGAAGGUAGUGUCUGCAACUUGGAAGACAGUUCUCACCAGCCCCUGACCCUACCAGCAUCUUGACUUCCAGACGUCAACCCCCAGAACUGAAAGAAAGAAAUUUUUGCUGUUUGAGCCACCGAGUCUGUAGAUGAAUUCGAGAGAUGAGAAGGAGCAAGAGAAAGAGAAUCUUCUAAGCAGAGAGAAGACAAUACGAAGAAAAGCAGUUUUUCCCCUGAGCCAAGUGGCCACCACAUGGACAAGCGGCAGAACCUGAGGCUUUGAUUUGUCACCAAGAGGAGGUGGUGCUGCUAGCUUCUAGGGAGUCAAGGAUGUGAGUGUUUCCAGUCUCUCCGCGAUCUACAGGACAGCCUCCUGCUCCAAACGUCAAGGAGUCAGAGGUAGAGAAUAACUUGCCCACACGUCCUAACAUCCCUGAGACUGUCCAGGUUCUUCAUCAUCUCCGUGUGACAGCUGACACCAGAGGCAGACAAAUGAGUGUCCUGCCCCAUGUCACCAGCUGAUAACAGAAGAUCAAGAUUCAGAUUCUGCCUGACUUGAAACCCUUGCGGGCCCAGUCACGUUCGAGAAGAGCAUGCUUCCAGCUGUUCUCACUCAGGGACACGGGGAGGACGCAUACAAAUAUUUACUUUGAUUUCUUAAGAAGGAAACUGUCCAGGAACAGCUUUUAGAUCGCUCUUUCCCAACUCUUUAAAUACUUGGUUAAAUAUUUAUCCAGCUGCCUUGCUGGGGUUGGAGUUGGAGCGCUAAACUUGCGCUAUGCUACUGCAGGGAAGCCUUCCCAGAAUGGGUAUGUGCUCGGUCCUCCCACUCCCUUUAUUCUAUAGGGAGAAAAUUAGGCCUGGCUUCGGGGAUUCCAGGAGUGUCACUCAACUAAGAAGUAGAGUGUACCCCCCCCCCCCAACUUUCUAACUUCCAGUUUUUGACAGAGAGGAAAUGAUUGAUGAUUUGCUAGAGAGCCAUCCAUGGAUCAAGGUCCUAGGGCAGAAGGGGGCACCCAAGGAGAGGGAGGAGUUAGAGAAGGAAAUGAUGAAGAGGAGGGUGAGUGAAGAAAGGAAAGACGGGAAGCUAGAGAAGCUGACUGCUUCUUCCAUCUGUAAGAGCUCCAGAGAGGAAAUCAAUACCGCCGAUAAUAUGUACCGUUAGUUCUCCCUCUUCCGCCUCUGCUUACUCAUGACUCGAGAAAGGAAGACCCUACCAAGGUUCUCAAAUCACUGAACAGCUAAAAAUCAGAGGAUGUGAAAGGAACGUGCUGGACAGGAGAGCAGAGGAAGCAGAGAAGGGAAGAGUCACAACUGGGAAGGCAGAGAAGGCAGAAGGAAGUAGACCAAAGAUGAAGGGACAGCAACUGAGGAUGCUUGAAAAAUAGUGGGGUAUCGGAAGGGGAUUUGCAUUAAGGAGCGUUUGUAUGAGAGUUACCUUCACCUCCAUCUUUCCACUAAGAUUUCAGUAAAACAUGUUUUCAGGA